rnacentral:tRNA from 1 species
ACCUGACAGGCUCAAUAGGUGAGCAUGCGACUCUUGAUCUUGGGGUCAUGAGUUCGAGCCUCAUGUUGGGUG